CAGGCGCCCGCCAUCGCGCCCGGCUAAUUUUUUGUAUUUUUAGUAGAGAUGGGGUUUCACCGUGGUCUCCGUCUCCUGACCUCAUGAUCUGCCCGCCUUGGCCUCCCAAAGUGCUGGGAUUACAGGUGUGAGCCACCCCACCCGGACCCUUCCUUCUAAUAACGCUAUGGGUUUUAUUUAUAAGGUCUUCAUUCACUUUAUAAGAUUCGAGAGAACUUUGUUCCAAUCUUGGCUCUGCUGCUACUUUUAAUAGGAUGCUUCCUUUUCCUUCUGACAUGAGUGGAACCAGCCAUAGGCCCUCAUCAGAGGCAGAUGCUGGCACUUUGCUUCUCGUACAGCCUGCAGAAUGAGACAGAGUCUUGCUCUGCUGCUCAAUCUGGAGUGCAGUGUUAUGAUCAUAAUUCACUGCAGCCCCAAACUCCUGUGCUCAAGCUAUCCUCCCACCUCAGCUUCUUGAGUAGCUGGAACUACAGGCACAUGCCAAUAUGCUUGGCUAUUUUUUUAAUUUUUAUUUUUUAUAUAUAUGGGGUCUUAACUUUGUUGCCCAGGUUGUAAAUAUCUUUUCAUAAAGUUUUCUUCUUUGCAUGCAAACCAUUAGCCACACUGAAUUUUUCUAUUCCCUCUUGAGAUUACAAGUAGAAAGCAGACCUUCUAGUUUAUCCCUUAGUUCUUUUAACAUUCUUUCAUAUUUCCCAUUUUCUUUUAUCUCUAAACUAUGCCGUGAGUACUUGCUCCACAUCUGUCUUCCAAUUCUUUUAUAACCUUUGGCUGCUUUCUUACCUACAAAUUAAUUGUAAAUUGUAAAUUGUUG
rnacentral:lncRNA from 1 species